GAUGAACGCUGGCGGCGUGCCUAAUACAUGCAAGUCGAGCGAACAGACAAGGAGCUUGCUCCUUUGACGUUAGCGGCGGACGGGUGAGUAACACGUGGGUAACCUACCUAUAAGACUGGGAUAACUUCGGGAAACCGGAGCUAAUACCGGAUAAUAUUUCGAACCGCAUGGUUCGAUAGUGAAAGAUGGUUUUGCUAUCACUUAUAGAUGGACCCGCGCCGUAUUAGCUAGUUGGUAAGGUAACGGCUUACCAAGGCGACGAUACGUAGCCGACCUGAGAGGGUGAUCGGCCACACUGGAACUGAGACACGGUCCAGACUCCUACGGGAGGCAGCAGUAGGGAAUCUUCCGUAAUGGGCGAAAGCCUGACGGAGCAACGCCGCGUGAGUGAUGAAGGUCUUCGGAUCGUAAAACUCUGUUAUUAGGGAAGAACAUACGUGUAAGUAACUAUGCACGUCUUGACGGUACCUAAUCAGAAAGCCACGGCUAACUACGUGCCAGCCGCCGCAGUAAAAC
rnacentral:rRNA from 1 species